UUAUGGCACACCUGUUUCUUAUGCCGUGGAAGGCAGUGACAAUGCUUUUCUUCUCAUAGACUAUAACGGGUGGGUGCUGUAUGUGAAUGGAAAGGAGCGGAUUACUGACUGUCCUGCUGUGAACACGGGCCAGUGGUUCCACAUCGGUGUAUCCUGGAGGAGCUGGGACGGAGACUGGAGGAUCUACAUCAACGGGAAGCCCUCAGAUGGAGGCAAAGGCCUAUCAGUUGGCACCACUAUCCCAGGUGGGGGAGCGCUUGUUUUAGGUCAGGACCAGGAUCAGAGAGGAGA